rnacentral:rRNA from 1 species
UACGUAGGUGGCGAGCGUUGUCCGGAUUUACUGGGUGUAAAGGGCGUGUAGGCGGGUUAUUAAGUCAGAUGUGAAAUUCCGGGGCUCAACCCCGGCGCUGCAUCUGAAACUGGUAAUCUUGAGUGCCGGAGAGGAAAGCGGAAUUCCUAGUGUAGCGGUGAAAUGCGUAGAUAUUAGGAGGAACACCAGUGGCGAAGGCGGCUUUCUGGACAGUAACUGACGGUGAGGCGCGAAAGCGUGGGGAGCAAACAGG